rnacentral:rRNA from 1 species
GACAGAGGGUGCAAAUGUUGCUCGGAAUCACUGGGCGUAAAGGGCGUGUAGGCGGGAAGUAAAGUCAGAUGUGAAAUCCCUGGGCUCAACCCAGGAACUGCAUUUGAAACUCACUUUCUUGAGUACCGGAGAGGAAGGUGGAAUACCUGGUGUAGAGGUGAAAUUCGUAGAUAUCAGGUGGAACACCAGUGGCGAAGGCGGCCUUCUGGACGGUAACUGACGCUGAGACGCGAAAGCGUGGGGAGCAAACAGG